AGACUAAACCCGCUAAGGGGAGGCAUAGGGUGUAACGGUAUUGGUAAUCCAUGAUUGGGGUG
rnacentral:rRNA from 1 species